GUGCCAGCCGCCGCAGUAGUACGUAGGUGGCAAGCGUUGUCCGGUAUUACUGGGCGUAAAGCGCGCGCAGGCGGCCAUUUAAGUCUGAUGUGAAAGCCCACGGCUCAACCGUGGAGGGUCAUUGGAAACUGGAAGACUUGAGUGCAGGAGAGGAGAGCGGAAUUCCACGUGUAGCGGUGAAAUGCGUAGAGAUGUGGAGGAACACCAGUGGCGAAGGCGACUCUCUGGUCUGUAACUGACGCUGAGGCGCGAAAGCGUGGGGAGCAAACAGGAUUAGAUACCCUGGUAGUCC
rnacentral:rRNA from 1 species